CCGAAAGGACUGCUAAUACCGAAUGUUGUAUCUCCUCCGCAUAGNGAAAAAAAAGUAUUAAAGAUGGCCUCUACUUGUAAGCUAUCGCUUUGCGAUGGGUCUGCGUCUGAUUAGCUAGUUGGUGGGGCAACGGCCUACCAAGGCGACGAUCAGUAGCCGGUCUGAGAGGAUGAACGGCCACACUGGAACUGAGACACGGUCCAGACUCCUACGGGAGGCAGCAGUGGGGAAUCUUCCGCAAUGGGCGAAAGCCUGACGGAGCAACGCCGCGUGAGUGAAGAAGGUCUUCGGAUCGUAAAGCUCUGUUGUCGGGGACGAAUGUUGAGACCUAGAACAUAGGUUUCAAAUGACGGUACCUGACGAGGAAGCCACGGCUAACUACGUG
rnacentral:rRNA from 1 species